CCCUUAGAUGUUCUGGGCUGCACGCGUGUUACACUGAUGCGUUCAUCAAGCGCCACACCUUGGCCCGAGAGGCCUGGGUAACCUUGAAAUCGCAUCGUGCUAGGGAUAGAUCAUUGUAAUUUUUGGUCUUCAACGUGGAAUUUCUAGUAGGCGUCAGUCAUCAACUGGCACCGAUUACGUCCCUGUCCUUUGUACACACCGCCCGUCGCUACUACCGAUUGAAUGAUUUAGUGAGGACUUCGGACUGGGACCGAUGCGGCUUUCGGGCUGCGUCGGUAUUCUGGAAAGAUGUCCAAACUGUAUCAUUUAGAGGAAGUAAAAGUCGUAACA
rnacentral:rRNA from 1 species